rnacentral:rRNA from 1 species
AAAUUGAAGAGUUUGAUCAUGGCUCAGAUUGAACGCUGGCGGCAGGCCUAACACAUGCAAGUCGAACGGUAACAGGAAGCAGCUUGCUGCUUCGCUGACGAGUGGCGGACGGGUGAGUAAUGUCUGGGAAACUGCCUGAUGGAGGGGGAUAACUACUGGAAACGGUGGCUAAUACCGCAUAACGUCGCAAGACCAAAGAGGGGGACCUUCGGGCCUCUUGCCAUCAGAUGUGCCCAGAUGGGAUUAGCUAGUUGGUGAGGUAACGGCUCACCAAGGCGACGAUCCCUAGCUGGUCUGAGAGGAUGACCAGCCACACUGGAACUGAGACACGGUCCAGACUCCUACGGGAGGCAGCAGUGGGGAAUAUUGCACAAUGGGCGCAAGCCUGAUGCAGCCAUGCCGCGUGUAUGAAGAAGGCCUUCGGGUUGUAAAGUACUUUCAGCGGGGAGGAAGGUGUUGUGGUUAAUAACCACAGCAAUUGACGUUACCCGCAGAAGAAGCACCGGCUAACUCCGUGCCAGCAGCCGCGGUAAUACGGAGGGUGCAAGCGUUAAUCGGAAUUACUGGGCGUAAAGCGCACGCAGGCGGUCUGUCAAGUCGGAUGUGAAAUCCCCGGGCUCAACCUGGGAACUGCAUUCGAAACUGGCAGGCUUGAGUCUUGUAGAGGGGGGUAGAAUUCCAGGUGUAGCGGUGAAAUGCGUAGAGAUCUGGAGGAAUACCGGUGGCGAAGGCGGCCCCCUGGACAAAGACUGACGCUCAGGUGCGAAAGCGUGGGGAGCAAACAGGAUUAGAUACCCUGGUAGUCCACGCCGUAAACGAUGUCUACUUGGAGGUUGUGCCCUUGAGGCGUGGCUUCCGGAGCUAACGCGUUAAGUAGACCGCCUGGGGAGUACGGCCGCAAGGUUAAAACUCAAAUGAAUUGACGGGGGCCCGCACAAGCGGUGGAGCAUGUGGUUUAAUUCGAUGCAACGCGAAGAACCUUACCUGGUCUUGACAUCCACAGAACUUUCCAGAGAUGGAUUGGUGCCUUCGGGAACUGUGAGACAGGUGCUGCAUGGCUGUCGUCAGCUCGUGUUGUGAAAUGUUGGGUUAAGUCCCGCAACGAGCGCAACCCUUAUCCUUUGUUGCCAGCGGUCCGGCCGGGAACUCAAAGGAGACUGCCAGUGAUAAACUGGAGGAAGGUGGGGAUGACGUCAAGUCAUCAUGGCCCUUACGACCAGGGCUACACACGUGCUACAAUGGCGCAUACAAAGAGAAGCGACCUCGCGAGAGCAAGCGGACCUCAUAAAGUGCGUCGUAGUCCGGAUUGGAGUCUGCAACUCGACUCCAUGAAGUCGGAAUCGCUAGUAAUCGUGGAUCAGAAUGCCACGGUGAAUACGUUCCCGGGCCUUGUACACACCGCCCGUCACACCAUGGGAGUGGGUUGCAAAAGAAGUAGGUAGCUUAACCUUCGGGAGGGCGCUUACCACUUUGUGAUUCAUGACUGGGGUGAAGUCGUAACAAGGUAACCGUAGGGGAACCUGCGGUUGGAUCACCUCCUUACCUUAAAGAAGC